rnacentral:rRNA from 1 species
GACGAACGCUGGCGGCGCGCUUAACACAUGCAAGUCGAGCGAGAACCAGGGCUUCGGCCCUGGGGACAGCGGCGAACGGGUGAGUAACACGUGGGUAAUCUGCCCUCGGCACCGGAAUAGCCCGGGGAAACCCGGAUUAAUGCCGGAUGGCCCCUUCACCUCGCGAGGUGUCGGGAAAAGGUAGCUUCGGCCUCUGGCCGAGGAUGAGCCCGCGGCGGAUUAGCUUGUUGGCGGGGUAACGGCCCACCAAGGCGACGAUCCGUAGCUGGUCUGAGAGGACGAUCAGCCACACCGGGACUGAGACACGGCCCAGACUCCUACGGGAGGCAGCAGUGGGAAAUCUUGCGCAAUGGGCGAAAGCCUGACGCAGCGACGCCGCGUGAGGGAAGACGGCCUUCGGGUUGUAAACCUCUUUCAGGAGGGACGAAGCUACUCGGGUGAAUAGCCCAGAGGGUGACGGUACCUCCAGAAGAAGCCCCGGCUAACUACGUGCCAGCAGCCGCGGUAAAAC